rnacentral:rRNA from 1 species
UUCCGGUUGAUCCUGCCGGAGGUCACUGCUAUUGGGAUUCGACUAAGCCAUGCGAGUCGAGAGGGUUCGGCCCUCGGCUGACGGCUCAGUAACACGUGGAUAAUCUGCCCUAAGGUGGAGGAUAACCUCGGGAAACUGAGAAUAAUACUCCAUAGGUCUAAGAUACUGGAAUGUACUUAGGCUUAAAGCUCCGGCGCCUUAGGAUGAGUCUGCGGACUAUCAGGUUGUAGUUAGGGUAAAGACCUGACUAGCCUACGACGGAUAUGGGUUGUGAGAGCAAUAGCCCAGAGACGAUAUCUGAGACACGAUAUCGGGCCCUACGGGGCGCAGCAGGCGCGAAAUCUUCACAAUGUGCGAAAGCACGAUGAGGGGAUCCCAAGUGCUGGCACGUAAGUGUCAGCUGUUUCUUAGUCUAAAAAACUGAGAGAGUAAGGGCUGGGUAAGACGGGUGCCAGCCGCCGCGGUAAUACCUGCAGCUCAAGUGGUGGCCGCUAUUAUUGGGCCUAAAACGUCCGUAGCCUGUUUAGUAAAUGCUUGGGUAAAUUGUGUAGCUUAACUAUACGAAUACCGGGUAGACUGCUAAACUUGGGACCGGGAGAGGCUAGAGGUACUCCUGGGGUAGAGGUGAAAUUCUGUAAUCCUAGGGGGACCACCAGUGGCGAAGGCGCCUAGCUAGAACGGGUCUGACGGUGAGGGACGAAGCCCUGGGGCGCAAACCGGAUUAGAUACCCGGGUAGUCCAGGGUGUAAACGCUGCUUGCUUGAUGUUAGUUGGGCUCCGAGCCCAACUAGUGUCGGAGAGAAGUUGUUAAGCAAGCUGCCUGGGAAGUACGGUCGCAAGACUGAAACUUAAAGGAAUUGGCGGGGGAGCACAGCAACGGGUGGAGCGUGCGGUUUAAUUGGAUUCAA